CCUCUCUCUCUCUCUCUCUCUCUCAUCUGAUUCUUAUCUUCUUCCUGCUCUUCUUCCUCCAUUAGAGGGUAGUGGUGCACCACAAGUUGGUGAAGCUGCCAGCAUGAUCUGAUGGUAUGAUGUAUUUACCUCUCUUUGCCUGAUUGUCAUGGACGAAUUCAGGAUGAGGGGGAAAGAGGAAUAUGAGUCAGGUCAUGCUGUAGUUUCAUCUGCUGGUGGGAGCACAUCGAAAACCCUACCUGAGAAUUCCAUCGAUGCAUCGAAACAUCGGUGGGUGUCUCAUCAGAUCAGAGACCGAUCGACAUGCAGUGCCUGAUUUCCACUAGUUCAUUAGUAGCAUGGUGGAUGCACAUGUACUCAUGAUGGCCAGGUUCAGGUUCGGAGUCAUGUGCGGUGGGAAAAAAAAAACCAGGAACGGGAGGGACGAUGCAGAGAACCAGAAACUUACCCUGUAACUCUUUUGUGAUUCAGGCGCAUAGUGAGGCUGACAUGUUGCAUGCGUUUGCCACAAUAGGAAGGAGUCCCUUCUUUCACGUUAUCUAGCAUUAUGGAUUGGCUUAUACUUUUCCUACACAAUAAGAGACUAUCAAUGAUGAUCGACUGAGAACUUCCAUUGCA